CGCCUGUAACAACAAUACUACGCUACAGACACCCUCACUAUUGACUAAUCAGAAGGAAGUGUUUGUGGAUGGUAAUGGUGUGUGUUGAUAGUAGUAGUAGAAGUAGUAGUAGUAGCACGGAUAAUGAAAAGACUACCCAGUUCAUCUGCUUGGUGGUUCAAAACUGUGUUGCUUGUAUCUCAACGCGUGGCUCAGAUUUGAAUGCGUAACGGAAGCAGUGAAGCAGGAACGAAUAAAUUUAUCAAUAUUCCAUGCCAGCUACAACUAUAUACCAUUUAUACAAGAAAUACAACACACAUCCACACUACAGGCAACACGCGGUCCCCAACACACACACUCAGAAAAGAAAAGGUGGCGGUUCUGUAAAUCUUUGAACCAUCUUUCACAUCCCACUCCGCCGCCGCCUCCUCCCUCCCCACGCCACACUGCCGUCACCCUGCCAACCUACGCCAUCAUCAUCAUCGUCUUGAUAAAUUUUGGCCCUCAAUCUCUCCGCUCCGUGCUCAGAAAUGCUCUACUCUGAACACGACUACUUCCCAAGGCCACAGGGAUGUUUAGCCACGUUCACAAGUGUUUUUUACUGUUAAUAAUGAAGAAAUCUUGUUAAUCUGCCACUAGAACCGUAAAAAAAAAACUUUAAA